GCCACCUUAGCUCAGUGGUAGAGCGGCGCUUUCGUAAAGCGCAGGUCCAGGGUUCGAAUCCCUGAGGUGGCU
rnacentral:tRNA from 1 species